GUGCUCGCUUAGACCAGGCAGCACAUGUACUAAAAUUGAAACAAUGCAGAGAAGGUUCACAUGACUCCUGUGUACAGAUGAUACGCAAAUUUGUAAAGCGGUCCACAUUUUU
ensembl:snRNA U6 U6 spliceosomal RNA